UUCAACCAUCACGGCACUAU
rnacentral:miRNA from 1 species